AAAGUACUCCUUCCGUCCGGAAAUACUUGUUGGAGAAAUGGAUAAAAAUGAAUGUAUUUAGAACUAAAAUAUAUCUAGAUACAUCCAUUCCUCCGACGAGUAUUUCCAGACGGAGGGAGUAACAC
rnacentral:pre_miRNA from 1 species